AUGCCCGCGCCGGCAUCGGCGUCCCCGGACUACGCCCAGGAGUUGUUCCUGGACGCGGCAUCGUCCGUCUCCGCCUCCUCCGGCGACAUUCGGCAUUGCGCCGGCAUCAUCGCCGACCGCUUCGGCUCCAAGACUCUGCGCGAUCUCGAGACCAAGCACCAUUGGAUGGUGAACCUUACCUGCCAAGUCCAUGGCCUGUCCCGCUUGGUAAGCGACAUGGCGCGGGAGCUCCCACUCUUCAACAACGCUGCGUCAAAUUGCGCCAAGAUCGCCGGCUACUUCAACACCACGCCCUCCGUGCGCGCGCUGCUGCACAAGCACCAAGUCCAGGAGCACGGGCACGCCUUCCUCCUCCCCAUUGCCGCUCCGCCAUAUAAUGGCGGGGAAUUUGCCGCCGCGUUCGUGAUGCUCGAGAGCAUCCUGACCUCGGCGCGGCCGCUCCAGCUCGCCGUGCUCGAGGAGUCCUACAAGGUGGUCUGCAUCGAUGACCUUUCUGCGAGGGAGAUCGCGGCCAUGGUGCAGAAUGUGGCGUUCUGGACCGAGGUCGAGGCGACGCAUUCAGUCGUGAAGAUGAUCAUGGACUUGGUGAAGGAGAUGGAGACCGAGAGGCCCCUGGUCAGAGGCUGGUGCCGGAAAUUCAGCGUAGAAGAGGCCACUGCCAUGAAUGUGGUCGAGAGGAGGUUCAGGAAGAACUACCACCCGGCGUGGUCAGCGGCAUUCAUACUGGACCCAUUGUAUCUGAUCAAGGACGCCGGCAGGAGGUACCUUCCACCGUUCAACUACUUGACACCAGAGCAGGAGAAGGACGUGGACAGGCUGAUCACGAGGCUGGUUUCGUCGGAGGAGGCGCACCUCGCGCUGAUGGAGCUGAUGAAAUGGCGGUCGGAAGGGCUCGACCCAUUGUACGCGCAGGUGGUGCAGGUCCGGCAGCCAGACCCAUCAACGGGGAAGAUGAAGAUAGCCAACAAGCAGAGCAGCCGGCUGGUGUGGGAGACAUGUCUCAGCGAGUUCAAGUCACUUGGCAAAGUGGCCGUCAGGCUCAUCUUCCUCCAUGCAACCGCCAAGGGGUUCAAAUGCACGUCGUCGAUGACGCGGUGGCUCACCGCGCCGGGGAGCUCCGCGGGCAGCAUUGGCCGGGCGCACCGGCUGGUGUUCAUCGCAGCGAACUCGAAGCUGGAGAGGAGGGAUUUCUCAAACGACGACGACAAGGACGUGGAGCUGCUCACGGAAGGAGACGAUGACAUGCUAACCGAGACUAGCAAUGUGGAUCCUUCCUCCUCAGUGUAG
rnacentral:rRNA from 1 species